AUGUUGAAAAAACAACUAGAGGACCAGCAAGGAGCUGCGACUGAGGUGGAGACCCUCAAGAAGUCGCUGGUCGAGGCCCAAAAGAGACUGGCGAAGGAACAAGCCGCCCGUGAAAAGCACGAGGCAAGGGUCGGGAGGACGCCGCAAAGAAAUGCGAGUCCUUGGAGCGCAAGAUUUCGAACCAAGAGUAUGAAUUUGCUAAGGCUCGCCAAAGCGCGCAAGAGGCCCGGGACGAAGCCCAGGAUGCCCUCUAGGAGAUCCAGGAAGCCAGGAAAAUCGCGGCGGGUAAGGCCUUUAUUAUGCAGAGCAAGUUUGUGA
rnacentral:rRNA from 1 species